rnacentral:lncRNA from 1 species
UUUGACGAGUGUAAGGGCUAGUAAGACCUACCCGCUUUAUUGAGCAUUUUCAUUCACUGAAGUAACUUGAACAAAAUAAAAGUAAAAGAAAGAAAUUCAUUGACUUCGAAAAGGAGGUCAAUUAAAUGAGUACUAACUCUCUUCUAUUACUUUGUUGUACCGGGUUUAAAAGAAAGAAAUUCAUUGACUUCGAAAAUGAGGUCAAUUAAAUGAGUACUAACUCUCUUCUAUUACUUUGUUGUACUGGGUUAACAAGAGCUGACCCUCUUUAUUCACUACAGUCCCAGAACAGAACAAUCUUGUGUCAUAGGAAAAGCUAUUAUCCAAAUCGAAUUUUUCUUUC